rnacentral:tRNA from 1 species
ACAUGGUUGGCUCAGUCAGUGGAGCGAGUGACUCUUGAUCUUGGGGUUGUGAGUUCAAGCCCCACAUUGAGUG